rnacentral:rRNA from 1 species
UCGGAUUGAUACUAAGCCAUGCGAGUCAUUGUAGCAAUACAAGGCAGACGGCUCAGUAACGCGUAGUCAACCUAACCUAUGGACGGGAAUAACCUCGGGAAACUGAGUAUAAUGCCCGAUAGAACAUUAUGCCUGGAAUGGUUUAUGUUCCAAAUGAUUUAUCGCCGUAGGAUGGGACUGCGGCCUAUCAGUUUGUUGGUGAGGUAAUGGCCCACCAAGACUAUUACAGGUACGGGCUCUGAGAGGAGUAGCCCGGAGAUGGGUACUGAGACACGGACCCAGGCCCUAUGGGGCGCAGCAGGCGAGAAAACUUUGCAAUGUGCGAAAGCACGACAAGGUUAAUCCGAGUGGUUUCUGCUAAAGGAACCUUUUGUCGGUCCUAGAAACACCGAUGAAUAAGGGGUGGGCAAGUUCUGGUGUCAGCCGCCGCGGUAAAACCAGCACCUCAAGUGGUCAGGAUGAUUAUUGGGCCUAAAGCAUCCGUAGCCGGCUCUAUAAGUUUUCGGUUAAAUCUGUAUGCUCAACAUACAGGCUGCCGGGAAUACUGUAGAGCUAGGGAGUGGGAGAGGUAGACGGUACUCGGUAGGAAGGGGUAAAAUCCUUUGAUCUAUUGAUGACCACCUGUGGCGAAGGCGGUCUACCAGAACACGUCCGACGGUGAGGGAUGAAAGCUGGGGGAGCAAACCGGAUUAGAUACCCGGGUAGUCCCAGCUGUAAACUAUGCAAACUCAGUGAUGCAUUGGCUUGUGGCCAAUGCAGUGCUGCAGGGAAGCCGUUAAGUUUGCCGCCUGGGAAGUACGUACGCAAGUAUGAAACUUAAAGGAAUUGGCGGGGGAGCACCACAAGGGGUGAAGCCUGCGGUUCAAUUGGAUUCAACGCCGGGAAGG